AUUGAACGCUGGCGGCAGGCCUAACACAUGCAAGUCGAGCGGAUGAAGGGAGCUUGCUCCUGGAUUCAGCGGCGAACGGGUGAGUAAUGCCUAGGAAUCUGCCUGGUAGUGGGGGAUAACGUCCGGAAACGGGCGCUAAUACCGCAUACGUCCUGAGGGAGAAAGUGGGGGAUCUUCGGACUUCACGCUAUCAGAUGAGCCUAGGUCGGAUUAGCUAGUUGGUGGGGUAAAGGCCUACCAAGGCGACGAUCCGUAACUGGUCUGAGAGGAUGAUCAGUCACACUGGAACUGAGACACGGUCCAGACUCCUACGGGAGGCAGCAGUGGGGAAUAUUGGACGAUGGGCGAAAGCCUGAUCCAGCCAUGCCGCGUGUGUGAAGAAGGUCUUCGGAUUGUAAAGCACUUUAAGUUGGGAGGAAGGGCAGUAAGUUAAUACCUUGCUGUUUUGACGUUACCAACAGAAUAAGCACCGGCUAACUUCGUG
rnacentral:rRNA from 1 species